rnacentral:lncRNA from 1 species
AUUUCUUGGCUGCUCCACAAGGGAGUCCCACUUCAGGUGUGGUGCUGGGCAUGGUCACUCCUGCUGGAUGUUUAGAAGGUGGAAACCAAGGACCUAGGGAAAUACCAGGUACAGCCUUUCCACCCUCAUCCAGAGAAGGACAAAGAGGCCAGGCGGUGUCAGGAGCCCAGGUCUCCAGCUGGAGGUAACGUCAACCCUGCAGUGGGAGCAGGGGCCCAUUGCACAUCCUAGGCAGAGAUGGUAACAUAGGCACCACAGAAGCACUGCUGACAGUUUGGUGGUUGCCAUUGGGGCAGUGAGCCUUUUGUCCGUUCUGAGUUUGGGCUGGUUUCUCCUCUUGGCCCUGCCCUACAGACCGUAAAGGAAAUCAGCAAGAAGUCCCCAGAAACAUCCACAGAUGGCCCUGGACAUCAGCCACAUUCUGAGAAACAUGUCAUGUUCUGGGAGGGCUAAGGCAUCAAGGCCUCAGUGCAUGGGCGCUGUCCAACCUCUGGUGCUGAAGCAGCCAAGAGACCCAAGCCUGCGUGGCUGCCUCUUAGGAUAUGACAGCACAGCCACUGGCCUCUACUGAAUCCUAUGCAACCUCAGAAGACACCCAGGAGUGAUGCCAUCACGUGGUGCAAGAGUUCUGAGGGACCGCAAUCCUGAAGACAUUGAAUGGCUGUGUUCCUGCUCAUUGCUGGAGGUACUGUCAGGGGCCCUGUCCUCAACCCCGGGUCUGACCCUUGCAGAUCAGGCAGGACAUUCUGGAGGAAUCAUGCCCUUGGAAGGAUCCCUGAGGAGUGACUGGUGGGUAUUGGUGGAUAAAUACCCCAGCUCCCUUGCUUUGGGUGGGAUGACUCUGAGGCACAUGUUCUGUGCUGUCUCUGCAGAUGUACCUGGCAGGGCUGAGUCCUGGCUGCCACAGGGGAAACUUUCUUGA